AUUGAACGCUGGCGGCAGGCCUAACACAUGCAAGUCGAGCGGAUGAAGGGAGCUUGCUCCUGGCUUCAGCGGCGGACGGGCGAGUAAUGCCUAGGAAUCUGCCUGGUAGUGGGGGAUAACGUCCGGAAACGGGCGCUAAUACCGCAUACGUCCUGAGGGUGAAAGUGGGGGAUCUUCGGACCUCACGCUAUCAGAUGAGCCUAGGUCGGAUUAGCUAGUUGGUGGGGUAAAGGCCUACCAAGGCGACGAUCCGUAACUGGUCUGAGAGGAUGAUCAGUCACACUGGAACUGAGACACGGUCCAGACUCCUACGGGAGGCAGCAGUGGGGAAUAUUGGACAAUGGGCGAAAGCCUGAUGCAGCCAUGCCGCGUGUGUGAAGAAGGUCUUCGGAUUGUAAAGCACUGUAAGUUGGGAGGAAGAGAAGUAAGUGAAUACCUGGCUGUUUUGACGUUACCAACAGAAUAAGCACCGGCUAACUUCGUG
rnacentral:rRNA from 1 species